UACAGAGGGGGCAAGCGUUGUUCGGAAUUACUGGGCGUAAAGGGCGCGUAGGCGGCCUGUUAAGUCGAACGUGAAAUCCCCGGGCUCAACCCGGGAACUGCGCCCGAUACUGGCAGGCUUGAAUCCGGGAGAGGGAUGUGGAAUUCCAGGUGUAGCGGUGAAAUGCGUAGAUAUCUGGAGGAACACCGGUGGCGAAGGCGGCGUUCUGGACUGCAACUGACACUGAGGAACGAAAGCCAGGGGAGCAAACGGG
rnacentral:rRNA from 1 species